GCCGGUGGUGCGGCUUUAGAUGGAGCUGGUACUAAGACCCAGGACUUCUGGGGCUUGAAGACCCUGGGUCUGCGGGAAGCCCCUGCUGAGCGUCCCUCGCCUACCCCGUGGCCAGUGGCUUUUCAGUGCAGAAACCACCUUAUCUAUGUGACAAAGCUCGGGCCAUCAGUGGCAAGGUAGAUUGGCAUCACGUACCUUUGAUACAACAACCUGAGAAGGACGUCACUUCUGCGAUAUUCCUGCCAAAAAUGCAUCUCCGCAUUCCGAUCGUGAGAACAUCCUGGGCACACCCAAACUGAGAGACACCAUACAAAGUGACUGGUCAGUGCACUCAAAGGCAAAAAGCUCAUGGAAGGCAACAGAAGACAGGAGAAGUGACAGCUAAAAGCAGCGUGGAAUCCUGGAAGGGACAAAGAACACGAGCAGAGAAACUGUAGAAGCUGAGUGAGGGCAGCGGUCCAGCUUGCGCUGUUUUGCUGGGCCUCAGGUUUUCCUUAGGAUUCCGUGUGUGUUCCCCGCCUGGCCCCUCCGCAGCGACUCUGCUGUCAGUGGCUGCCCCAGGGUGGAGAGUGACCUACCUCCGGCUUCUCCUGUCCCGGCUUCUCCUGUGCCAGCCGGUCAGGCACACUGUAAGAUCCCCACAGCGGGGUGCCCCCACCCUCACCUGGACCCUACACCAUCACCAUCACACCUUCUCGUGUGUCAUAAACCCCACAACACAUUGUUAUGAUUUUUGCUUUAAAUCAAUUAUCUUUUAAAGGGAUUAAAAUAAUGUGAGCUGUGAGGACAAACUUAGCCUUCCGUUCUGUUGGUCUGUGAUGACCGUU
rnacentral:lncRNA from 10 species